rnacentral:rRNA from 1 species
AGUGAACGCUGGCGGUAGGCCUAACACAUGCAAGUCGAACGGCAGCACAGUAAGAGCUUGCUCUUACGGGUGGCGAGUGGCGGACGGGUGAGGAAUACAUCGGAAUCUACCUUUUCGUGGGGGAUAACGUAGGGAAACUUACGCUAAUACCGCAUACGACCUACGGGUGAAAGCAGGGGAUCUUCGGACCUUGCGCGAUUGAAUGAGCCGAUGUCGGAUUAGCUAGUUGGCGGGGUAAAGGCCCACCAAGGCGACGAUCCGUAGCUGGUCUGAGAGGAUGAUCAGCAGCACUGGAACUGAGACGCGGUCCAGAAUCCUACGGGAGGCAGCAGUGGGGAAUAUUGGAGAAGGGGCGGAAGCCUGAUCCAGCCAUACCGCGUGGGUGAAGAAGGCCUUCGGGUUGUAAAGCCCUUUUGUUGGGAAAGAAAAGCAGCAGGUUAAUACCCCGCUGUUCUGACGGUACCCAAAGAAUAAGCACCGGCUAACUUCGU